UACGAAGGGGGCUAGCGUUGUCCGGAAUCAUUGGGCGUAAAGCGCGUGUAGGCGGCUCGAUAAGUCUGCUGUGAAAGUCCAGGCUCAACCCUGGGAUGCCGGUGGAUACUGUCGAGCUCGAGUCCGGAAGAGGCGAGUGGAAUUCCUGGUGUAGCGGUGAAAUGCGCAGAUAUCAGGAGGAACACCGAUGGCGAAGGCAGCUCGCUGGGACGUGACUGACGCUGAGACGCGAAAGCGUGGGGAGCAAACAGG
rnacentral:rRNA from 1 species